rnacentral:lncRNA from 1 species
UGGCCAGAAGCCCUCCCUCACCUUUUCCAGGUUAAUCAUUAACUUCUCAUUAUGAACGCAGAAGCACCUUUACGCACAGUACCCUGACUCUGUCCAGGGCAAACACCUUGCUCGGGGCAGUGCCCUCUGCCCUCACCCAUUCCCCAGUGGUCUCAGGGGUUCAUGGCCUUGCAGGGCAGGUCCCCAUCCCCUGGGCCUUCCCGAGCCGCCCCAGGACACAGGAAGCCGGGCAGACGUGCGGGCUGCCUCUUCCUCCAUCCCAGAGCCCAGUGCCUGCCCAGCAGACGGACACUCCACACCCCUGGGAGAAAGGCCCCAACCUAACACCCUCUGCCACCUGCACGGGGCACUUGGGACCUGGCUCGGGCAGGGGUAAGGGAUGGUGCCCGCAGGAGCCAAGGCAGGACCUCUCCAAGGACCAAACAGCUGGGGCAUCACCCUGAGGGUGGAACUCAGCGAGGGCUGGCAGAGCACAGACUGCAUCCAGACACCGCGGCCCCAGCCAGACUCCGUGCUGUCAGACAAACAUGCAAGUGAAUCACCACCUGCCCGGUUUCCGCUGCAGACGCGGAGGCGAGAACCCAGGACACCUGCAUUGUGGGCACCGGCAUUGUGUCCCUGCGGCAGGAGCGCUGACUACUGCACUGGCAGCUGGGAAAGGGUCAUGCCCUGCCUCCAAGGUCCUGUCCUGAGGAGCCAGGUUUGGGGUCUGUCAACUCUGUCACCUGCUUGUCUGUGUGGAUAAUUGAGGCCUCCACCCAAACAAAGAAGACAUGAAAGAUCUACCACAGUCCGCUAAAGCCAACAGCCCAAGACAAGUAGACCAGCCGGCAGGAUCCUGUGACAAGAUCAGGCUGCCACUACAGACAACACCUGCUCUAGUCACCCUGGAAGCUACUCAAACAGAAGACUGAAGAUCAACAUAAGUCCCAUAUCCUUUUUGUUAUAACUUUCCCUUGCCUCUUUACCCCUACUUGUCAGAAACAUUCAGACAGCUGUGGAGACUCUGGUAGGCAGGCACACCACCGACUGAUGGUCUUACCCAAGCACCAACCUCUGCUCAGUGGGCUGUGCUGAGCAACCCCUUGUGACAAAAAUUGAUAAUAAUAAUCAUGAUAAAGAUGGUGCUCUCUGGUAAAACUUGUUAUAGAAAGCAUCAAAGAGGGGAACAAAGCAGAACUUAAAAGAAAAUCAGUUCUCCUAGCUGAAAGCAGUCUAACAGCUCCCUGUUCAGAUUCUGCCUUACCCUUUCCCAUAACUACUGACCUCCCCCUGGUCCUGAUAAGGUAAACAGUCCUAUCACUGUACAGGAACCCCCAAAGAACUAUGUGUUCUGUGAACAACUAUAUUCUAUAAACAAACUCUGUUCCCAUGUGAUUCAUAAGACACUCUCUUCUUACAAGGCUAAAUUACUGAACUGUCUAUCCCUGUUCUGUUCUGUUUAAACUCACUUACUUUGUCACUAAUAGACCACUCCCCUUUGACUAAAUGUAUAAAAACUGAAACUUCUCUUUGUUCAGUUCCUCAGCUUUGGGACACGAGUCCAUCAGGCUGGUGUUCACCCUACUAGACCCUUUUGAUUCCCACUGGGUCUCUCUUGUCCCUGAGAAUUCUGCAUAGUGAUGAGGAGCAGGUGCAGCACUCAGCAUGGUGUCCGAGCCCAUCUGUGCGCUGCUGUGGUGAGGAGGAGCCAUCUGCUCAGCCCCUGCUGUUCAUGGCCACUGUGCCGUUUCCAGGGUCAUGGCUGGGCAGUGAGCCCUGCUGCCCAUCGCUGUGGGAACCCGAUCUCCUCCUCUGUGGGAAGCCCUAUGUGGUGGUCUGGGCCUCAGGUGUUGUCUUGUUCCUGCAGUGGUGCUGUGAGCCAGGUGUGUGGCAGCUCUAGGGUGGGGCCAGGGUGAGUGCUUCAUGGAGCCCUCAUGGCUCACACUGGCUGGCAGACCCCAGGAGGAC